AGGCAGCAGUGGGGAAUAUUGCACAAUGGGCGCAAGCCUGAUGCAGCCAUGCCGCGUGUAUGAAGAAGGCCUUCGGGUUGUAAAGUACUUUCAGCGGGGAGGAAGGGAGUAAAGUUAAUACCUUUGCUCAUUGACGUUACCCGCAGAAGAAGCACCGGCUAACUCCGUGCCAGCAGCCGCGGUAAUACGGAGGGUGCAAGCGUUAAUCGGAAUUACUGGGCGUAAAGCGCACGCAGGCGGUUUGUUAAGUCAGAUGUGAAAUCCCCGGGCUCAACCUGGGAACUGCAUCUGAUACUGGCAAGCUUGAGUCUCGUAGAGGGGGGUAGAAUUCCAGGUGUAGCGGUGAAAUGCGUAGAGAUCUGGAGGAAUACCGGUGGCGAAGGCGGCCCCCUGGACGAAGACUGACGCUCAGGUGCGAAAGCGUGGGGAGCAAACAGGAUUAGAUACCCAGGUAAG
rnacentral:rRNA from 1 species